UAUUGCAGUUGCUUACCUUGAGAACCAAUAUGUGCAUGAAAUUCUAUAUUCUGCAAAGUACUAAAGUUUCAUUAUAUGCAAGUCCCCUAUCUUAGUCUUGGUGGCAUUGGGUUUAAGCUUUAGGUGAACCCAUGACACCUUGACAGUACCAUUAUCAUGCGCACAAUUAUAAAAAUAUUGCUAUUUUAUGCACCUAAAGAUACAAAUAUGAUUUGAGUCAACAAAUAUUCUCCUGAAGUAACCAAUAGUUAAAUUCUUCUAAUAACAGAAAGAGGAAGACAUGUAAGAGCACUCAUUUAGCAAUGCUAGCAAGACAUAGUUGUUGCCCGGUUAGCAAAUUAGGCACUGAAACUCUCUCUAUUGUUUUCAAUUAUUAUUUAUUCUUAUUCUUUGCCUUAUAAGUAUCAUAAGGGUGAACAAAACUUAAGUAAUUG
rnacentral:misc_RNA from 1 species